rnacentral:rRNA from 1 species
UUGAACGCUGGCGGCAGGCCUAACACAUGCAAGUCGAACGGUAACAGGAAACAGCUUGCUGUUUCGCUGACGAGUGGCGGACGGGUGAGUAAUGUCUGGGAAACUGCCUGAUGGAGGGGGAUAACUACUGGAAACGGUAGCUAAUACCGCAUAACGUCGCAAGACCAAAGAGGGGGACCUUCGGGCCUCUUGCCAUCGGAUGUGCCCAGAUGGGAUUAGCUUGUUGGUGGGGUAACGGCUCACCAAGGCGACGAUCCCUAGCUGGUCUGAGAGGAUGACCAGCCACACUGGAACUGAGACACGGUCCAGACUCCUACGGGAGGCAGCAGUGGGGAAUAUUGCACAAUGGGCGCAAGCCUGAUGCAGCCAUGCCGCGUGUAUGAAGAAGGCCUUCGGGUUGUAAAGUACUUUCAGCGGGGAGGAAGGGAGUAAAGUUAAUACCUUUGCUCAUUGACGUUACCCGCAGAAGAAGCACCGGCUAACUCCGUGCCAGCAGCCGCGGUAAUACGGAGGGUGCAAGCGUUAAUCGGAAUUACUGGGCGUAAAGCGCACGCAGGCGGUUUGUUAAGUCAGAUGUGAAAUCCCCGGGCUCAACCUGGGAACUGCAUCUGAUACUGGCAAGCUUGAGUCUCGUAGAGGGGGGUAGAAUUCCAGGUGUAGCGGUGAAAUGCGUAGAGAUCUGGAGGAAUACCGGUGGCGAAGGCGGCCCCCUGGACGAAGACUGACGCUCAGGUGCGAAAGCGUGGGGAGCAAACAGGAGUAGAUACCCUAGUAGUGCACGCCGUAAACGAUGUCGACUUGGAGGUUGUGCCCUUGAGGCGUGGCUUCCGGAGCUAACGCGUUAAGUCGACCGCCUGGGGAGUACGGCCGCAAGGUUAAAACUCAAAUGAAUUGACGGGGGCCCGCACAAGCGGUGGAGCAUGUGGUUUAAUUCGAUGCAACGCGAAGAACCUUACCUGGUCUUGACAUCCACGGAAGUUUUCAGAGAUGAGAAUGUGCCUUCGGGAACCGUGAGACAGGUGCUGCAUGGCUGUCGUCAGCUCGUGUUGUGAAAUGUUGGGUUAAGUCCCGCAACGAGCGCAACCCUUAUCCUUUGUUGCCAGCGGUCCGGCCGGGAACUCAAAGGAGACUGCCAGUGAUAAACUGGAGGAAGGUGGGGAUGACGUCAAAUCAUCAUGCCCUUUAUGUCCUGGGCUACACACGUACUACAAUGGCUGUAACAGAGAGAAGCAACACCGCGAGGUAGAGCGAAACUCUAAAAGCAGUCUCAGUUCGGAUUGAAGGCUGAAAUUCGCCUUCAUGAAGCCGGAAUUGCUAGUAAUGGCAGGUCAGCAUACUGCCGUGAAUACGUUCCCGGGCCUUGUACACACCGCCCGUCACACCAUGAGAGUGGGUUGCAAAAGAAGUAGGUAGCUUAACCUUCGGGAGGGCGCUUACCACUUUGUGAUUCAUGACUGGGGUG